rnacentral:rRNA from 1 species
GACGAACGCUGGCGGUGUGCUUAACACAUGCAAGUCGAACGGUAAGGCCCUUUCGGGGGUCCAUGAGUGGCGAACGGGUGAGUAACACGUGAGUAACCUGCCCUCAUCUCUGGGAUAACAGUCGGAAACGGUUGCUAAUACUGGAUAUGAGCUUGCAAGGCAUCUUGUGGGUUGGAAAGAUUUUUUUUGGUUGGGGAUGGACUCGCGGCCUAUCAGCUUGUUGGUGAGGUAGUGGCUCACCAAGGCUUCGACGGGUAGCCGGCCUGAGAGGGCGACCGGCCACAGUGGGACUGAGAUACGGCCCAAACUCCUACGGGAGGCAGCAGUGGGGAAUAUUGCACAAUGGACGGAAGUCUGAUGCAGCAACGCCGCGUGCGGGAUGACGGCCUUCGGGUUGUAAACCGCUUUCAAUUGUGACGAAGCUUUUUUGUGACGGUAGCAGUAGAAGAAGCACCGGCUAACUACGUG